CCAUGAGUACAGUGGCGCACGGGUGAGUAACACGUGACUAACCUACCCUGGAGUGGGGGAUAACUGAGGGAAACCUUAGCUAAUACCGCAUAAUACCUAUGGGUCAAAGGAGCAAUUCGCUUCAGGAGGGGGUCGCGGCCGAUUAGUUAGUUGGCGGGGUAAUGGCCCACCAAGACAGUGAUCGGUAUCCGGCCUGAGAGGGCGCACGGACACACUGGAACUGAAACACGGUCCAG
rnacentral:rRNA from 1 species